rnacentral:tRNA from 1 species
GAUCAGUUGGCCGAGUGGUUAAGGCGAUGGACUGCUAAUCCAUUGGGGUAUCACCGGCUGAGUUCGAGUAUCAUCA